rnacentral:rRNA from 1 species
AUGGCGAUGGCGGAGGCGGAAGAUCAUGGAUUCGAGUUCCUAUCAGAUCCGGCUGCCAGGUUCCCGCUGCCGGAUCUUGGAGGUGGCGACUCCAAACUGCACAUCGAACACACCCAAAUUCUGGUAUGCACGGCCGCUGAGUUCAGCAUUGGUGAUGUUGGCUAUGUGGCGCUGACAGUCCAAGUAGACCUAAACAGCACUUGCGAGGGGCUGAGUUUGUGGGAAAAGAUCUCAGAGGAAUCAUCGGCAAAGAUCUCAAGCCCCGGGCUGGACGAAGAGAAUAAGUGCCCUGAAGAAAACAGUGAGAGUCUAUGCCGAGAAGAAGACUGGCACCGUUAUAGUUCCUGA